GAUGAACGCUGGCGGCGUGCCUAAUACAUGCAAGUCGAGCGAACAGACGACGAGCUUGCUCCUCUGACGUUAGCGGCGGACGGGUGAGUAACACGUGGAUAACCUACCUAUAAGACUGGGAUAACUUCGGGAAACCGGAGCUAAUACCGGAUAAUAUAUUGAACCGCAUGGUUGAAUAGUGAAAGACGGUUUUGCUGUCACUUAUAGAUGGAUCCGCGCCGCAUUAGCUAGUUGGUAAGGUAACGGCUUACCAAGGCAACGAUGCGUAGCCGACCUGAAAGGGUGAGCGGCCACACGGGAAGGGAGACACCGACCAGACUACUACGGGAGGCAGCAGUCGGGAAUCAUCCGCAAUGGGGGAAAGCCUGACGGAGCAACGGCGCGUGAGUGAAGAAGGUCUUCGGAUCGUAAAACUAUGUUAUUAGGCAAAAAAAAAUGUGUAACUAACUAUGGACGAAUUGACGGUAACUAAUCAAAAAGCCCCGGCUAACUACGUG
rnacentral:rRNA from 1 species